rnacentral:rRNA from 1 species
AAUAUCAAAGGUGAGCCAGUACAGGAUGGACCCGCGUCUGAUUAGCUAGUGGGUAAGGUAACGGCUUACCAAGGCGACGAUCAGUAGCCGACCUGAGAGGGUGAUCGGCCACAUUGGAACUGAGACACGGUCCAAACUCCUACGGGAGGCAGCAGUGGGGAAUAUUGCACAAUGGGCGAAAGCCUGAUGCAGCAACGCCGCGUGAGUGAUGAAGGCCUUCGGG